rnacentral:SRP_RNA from 2 species
GCUGGGUGUGGUGGCGCGCGCCUGUAAUCCCAGCUACUCAGGAGGCUGAGGCAGGGGAAUUACUUGAACCCGGGAGGUGGAGGCUGCAGUGAGCCAAGAUAGUGCCACUGCACUUUAGCCUGGGUGACAGAGUGAGACUCCGUCUGGA